rnacentral:lncRNA from 1 species
UCAUGAUUUUCAUUUAACAUAGUUUUUUUUCCCCUUAUGUUUCCCUUUUUGAUCUACAUACUUGUACACUUAGUCAACAUUAUUUUAAAUUUAUUCUUGGAACAGAGAUUAAAUGAAUUGAAAGACUCAACUAUCAAAUCAGCUUCCAGCAUGGGAAACAUUAAUGCUCCAGUUGAUGAGUCCGUUUUUGAUGUUGAGAAAGAGAUUGAUGAUUUGAUACCUGUUGAAGUAAAGGAACAGAGAGUCAGUAACUUACUGCAAUCUUUAAUGGUGGGAGGAUGUGUUGCAGCCAUGCCUCUGCUAAAAAAGAUCCCAACGUCAGUACUCUGGGGAUACUUCGCAUAUAUGGCUGUUGAAAGCUUACCCGGAAACCAGUUUUGGGAGCGGAUCUUACUACUAUUCACAGCUCCAAGUAGAAGAUACAAGUAGCUACUUUCCCAUGAACAUUUGUACAAGUUCAGUUAAUUUUUAAUUUCGCUAAACUGAUUCUCUGCAACUAACCAAUAUGCAUCUGUUUUUUGUUUUUGUUACGUGUUAACAGAAUAUUGGAGGACAACCACGCAACUUUUGUUGAAACUGUACCUUUCAAGACAAUUGCAUUUUUCACAAUAUUCCAGUCAGCUUAUUUGUUGAUCUGUUUCGGUAUCACCUGGAUUCCUCUUGCUGGGGUGUUGUUCCCUUUGAUAAUCAUGCUUCUGGUUCCUAUUAGACANAACAGAGUGAAUUUAACUUGCGGAAGCCUACUUCAUUUCAUUACGAUUUGUUUUUGUUAGGAUUCAUGGUAUGGUGGCAAAUCCUUCCUAAAAACUAACCAUUUAGUCGUUUUCUGUCAUUUUAUGAAACCUCCACUCUAAUCAAAAUGACUUGUUACAAUGUUGAAGGUCAUAUUGUGUGGCCUUACUGGAAUCCCCCCAUCAAAUGGUGUCAUUCCACAAUCUCCAAUGCAUACUAAAAGUUUGGCUACACUUAAGCAUCAGGUUUACAUUUACCACAGACACAUUUCUUACACCGCUCGUUUAAUAUUAUAAUCUUAAACUAAAGAUGAAAAUCGCGGCUGUCUGUAUUAGCUAGUUAAUAUUCAUCUCCGUAUCUUAGCAUUUAAUCACACAAUAUACUUUUAUCACAAUGAUAUUCACUGAGCUCAGCAUAUUCAUUGCUGCUUUGCCAUCUUUUUGCAUGUAGCUUCUUCGUAGUCGAUUGGUAACGACAGCACGCGAAUGUCUGGGCAAUAACAGUAGUCUAGAUCAAGUAUAUGGAAAGUUACAAGAAGCCUAUGAAGGGAUGCAGAGUCCAGUGCAUAACCAAGAGCCAUCAGCUCGAGUACGGCGCUUUCAUGAUUUUCAUUUAACAUAGUUUUUUUUCCCCUUAUGUUUCCCUUUUUGAUCUACAUACUUGUACACUUAGUCAACAUUAUUUUAAAUUUAUUCUUGGAACAGAGAUUAAAUGAAUUGAAAGACUCAACUAUCAAAUCAGCUUCCAGCAUGGGAAACAUUAAUGCUCCAGUUGAUGAGUCCGUUUUUGAUGUUGAGAAAGAGAUUGAUGAUUUGAUACCUGUUGAAGUAAAGGAACAGAGAGUCAGUAACUUACUGCAAUCUUUAAUGGUGGGAGGAUGUGUUGCAGCCAUGCCUCUGCUAAAAAAGAUCCCAACGUCAGUACUCUGGGGAUACUUCGCAUAUAUGGCUGUUGAAAGCUUACCCGGAAACCAGUUUUGGGAGCGGAUCUUACUACUAUUCACAGCUCCAAGUAGAAGAUACAAGUAGCUACUUUCCCAUGAACAUUUGUACAAGUUCAGUUAAUUUUUAAUUUCGCUAAACUGAUUCUCU